rnacentral:rRNA from 1 species
CGCCAGACUCCUACGGGAGGCAGCAGUGGGGAAUAUUGCACAAUGGGGGGAACCCUGAUGCAGCGACGCCGCGUGGGUGAAGAAGUCCUUCGUGACGUAAAGCCCUAUCAGCAGGGAAGAAAAUGACGGUACCUGACUAAGAAGCCCCGGCUAACUACGUGCCAGCAGUCGCGGUAAUACGUAGGGGGCAAGCGUUAUCCGGAUUUACUGGGUGUAAAGGGAGCGUAGACGGCAUGGCAAGUCAGAUGUGAAAGCCCGGGGCUCAACCCCGGGACUGCAUUUGAAACUGUCAGGCUGGAGUGCAGGAGAGGUAAGUGGAAUCCCUAGUGUAGCGGUGAAAUGCGUAGAUAUUAGGAGGAACACCAGUGGCGAAGGCGGCUUACUGGACUGUAACUGACGUUGAGGCUCGAAAGCGUGGGGAGCAAACAGGAUUAGAUACCCGUGUA